UGCUUUUACCGGGAACAGAACAGGAAUGGAGUCUUAGAACUUAACCCACUUCUGCAACACUGCCUAUUAAAGGAAACAACUUCAAUGCCACCUCUGCUGAAAUCCCAAGUCCCUUCCUCUCAUCUCAUUGGAGUUGUAAAAGAUGUACAUCCUGCAAAACAGGGAGAAAAAUACUGGACUUCAUCUCUGCCACAAACUGGAUUCAUAGACACUAAGGUCAGAAGGGACCAUUAUGAUCAUCUAGUCUGACCUGCACAACGCAGGCCACAGAAUCUCACCCACCCACUCCUGUGAAAAACCUCACCUACGUCUGAUCUGUUGAAGUCCUCAAAUCGUGGUUUAAAGACUUCAAGGAGCGGAGAAUCCUCCAGCAAGAGACCUGUGCCCCAUGCUACAGAGGGAGGCGAAAAACCUCCAGGGCCUCUUCCAAUCUGCCCUGGAGGAAAAUUCCUUCCUGACCCCAAAUAUGGCGAUCAGCUAAACCCUGAGCAUAUGGGCAAGAUUCGCCAGCCAGAUACUACAGAAAAUUCUUUCCUGGGUAACUCAGAUCUCAGAAUCUUCUGCAGACAUCUUACAUUUUUCAAAAAUAUAUUGAAAACGGAGUUUGCAAUGCUUCUAUCAAAGAGCAAAUCCAGACACACAGAGAAAAGGCUAUUGUGUUUAUUUGGUGCACAUGGACUGUAAUGCAACUGAAGCAAGUGGGGGAAGCUUUCACAGCUGCUCCACAACUUUUCCAGGGAAGCUUGACUGGUGGAACCAGCUGAUACACCCUCACAAUCCUCAUAGGGAAUAUGACAGGUUUCAGAGAGUAACAGCCGUGUUAAGUCUGUAUUCGCAAAAAGCAAAGGAGGAGUACUUGUGGCACCUU